rnacentral:rRNA from 1 species
CCUACGGGCGGCAGCAGUGGGGAAUCUUGCGCAAUGGGCGAAAGCCUGACGCAGCCAUGCCGCGUGAAUGAUGAAGGUCUUAGGAUUGUAAAAUUCUUUCAGUAGGGACGAUAAUGACGGUACCUACAGAAGAAGCCCCGGCUAACUUCGUGCCAGCAGCCGCGGUAAUACGAAGGGGGCUAGCGUUGCUCGGAAUUACUGGGCGUAAAGGGAGCGUAGGCGGGUUAUCAAGUUGGAGGUGAAAGCCCAGGGCUCAACCUUGGAAUUGCCUUCAAAACUGAUAGCCUAGAGUAUGAUAGAGGUAUGUGGAACUCCGAGUGUAGAGGUGAAAUUCGUAGAUAUUCGGAAGAACACCAGUGGCGAAGGCGACAUACUGGGUCAUGACUGACGCUGAGGCUCGAAAGCGUGGGGAGCAAACAGGAUUAGAUACCCUGGUAGUCCACGCUGUAAACGAUGAUUGCUAGUUGUCGGACGGCANGCGUCGGUGCGCGAGCUACGACAUAAGACACUCCGCCGUCGGGAGGUACGGUCGCGAGAGUAAACGUACGAAGAAGUAGACGCGNGAGACGUGCGACGACGACGACGAGGGAGAGG